GCCUUUGUAGCUCAGCUGGAUAGAGCAGCCCCCUCCUAAGGGGCAGGUCGCAGGUUCGAAUCCUGCCAAGGGCACCA
rnacentral:tRNA from 2 species